rnacentral:rRNA from 1 species
GAUGAACGCUGGCGGCGUGCCUAAUACAUGCAAGUCGAGCGAACAGACGAGGAGCUUGCUCCUCUGACGUUAGCGGCGGACGGGUGAGUAACACGUGGAUAACCUACCUAUAAGACUGGGAUAACUUCGGGAAACCGGAGCUAAUACCGGAUAAUAUAUUGAACCGCAUGGUUCAAUAGUGAAAGACGGUUUUGCUGUCACUUAUAGAUGGAUCCGCGCCGCAUUAGCUAGUUGGUAAGGUAACGGCUUACCAAGGCAACGAUGCGUAGCCGACCUGAGAGGGUGAUCGGCCACACUGGAACUGAGACACGGUCCAGACUCCUACGGGAGGCAGCAGUAGGGAAUCUUCCGCAAUGGGCGAAAGCUUGACGGAGCAACGCCGCGUGAGUGAUGAAGGUCUUCGGAUCGUAAAACUCUGUUAUUAGGGAAGAACAAAUGUGUAAGUAACUAUGCACGUCUUGACGGUACCUAAUCAGAAUGCCACGGCUAACUACGUG